AGUGAACGCUGGCGGUAGGCCUAACACAUGCCAGUCGAACGGCAGCACAGUAAGAGCUUGCUCUUACGGGUGGCGAGUGGCGGACGGGUGAGGAAUACAUCGGAAUCUACUUUUUCGUGGGGGAUAACGUAGGGAAACUUACGCUAAUACCGCAUACGACCUACGGGUGAAAGUAGGGGAUCUUCGGACCUUGCGCGAUUGAAUGAGCCGAUGUCGGAUUAGCUAGUUGGCGGGGUAAAGGCCCACCAAGGCGACGAUCCGUAGCUGGUCUGAGAGGAUGAUCAGCCACACUGGAACUGAGACACGGUCCAGACUCCUACGGGAGGCAGCAGUGGGGAAUAUUGGACAAUGGGCGCAAGCCUGAUCCAGCCAUACCGCGUGGGUGAAGAAGGCCUUCGGGUUGUAAAGCCCUUUUGUUGGGAAAGAAAAGCAGCAGGUUAAUACCCCGCUGUUCUGACGGUACCCAAAGAAUAAGCACCGGCUAACUUCGUG
rnacentral:rRNA from 1 species